UCUGUGCUUCUCCAUGGAGGAAACUCAAGGA
rnacentral:piRNA from 1 species